rnacentral:rRNA from 1 species
CUUGAAACACGGACCAAGGAGUCUAGCAUGUGCGCGAGUCAUUGGGAUUCACAAAACCUAAAGGCGCAAUGAAAGUGAAGGCCAGCCUCGCGCUGGCCUAGGGAAGAUGGGCGGUCCGCUCAGUGGCCGCCCCGCACUCCCGGGGCGUCUCGUUCUCAUUGCGAGAGGAGGCGCACCAAGAGCGUACACGCUGGGACCCGAAAGAUGGUGAACUAUGCCUGGUCAGGACGAAGUCAGGGGAAACCCUGAUGGAGGUCCGUAGCGAUUCUGACGUGCAAAUCGAUCGUCGGAACUGGGUAUAGGGGCGAAAGACUAAUCGAACCAUCUAGUAGCUGGUUCCCCCCGAAGUUUCCCUCAGGAUAGCUGGCGCUCGUUGCAUACGAGUCUCAUCCGGUAAAGCGAAUGAUUAGAGGCAUUGGGGUCGAAACGGCCUCAACCUAUUCUCAAACUUUAAAUGGGUGAGAUCUCCGGCUUGCUCGAACUAUUGAAGCCGCGAGAAACGGAUCAGAGUGCCAAGUGGGCCAUUUUUGGUAAGCAGAACUGGCGCUGUGGGAUGAACCAAACGCCGAGUUAAAGCGCCUAAAUCGACGCUUAUGGGAUACCAUGAAAGGCGUUGGUAACUUAAGACAGCAGGACGGUGGCCAUGGAAGUCGGAAUCCG